rfam:Ovis aries breed Texel chromosome 4, whole genome shotgun sequence.
GCAUUAGUGGUUCAGUGGUAGAAUUCUUGCCUCCCAUGCAGGAGACCCAGGUUCGAUUCCCAGUCAAUGCA